UUGAACUGAAGAGUUUGAUCCUGGCUCAGAUUGAACGCUGGCGGCAUGCCUUACACAUGCAAGUCGAACGGCAGCACGGGUGCUUGCACCUGGUGGCGAGUGGCGAACGGGUGAGUAAUACAUCGGAACAUGUCCUGUAGUGGGGGAUAGCCCGGCGAAAGCCGGAUUAAUACCGCAUACGAUCCACGGAUGAAAGCGGGGGACCUUCGGGCCUCGCGCUAUAGGGU
rnacentral:rRNA from 2 species